GAUGAACGCUGGCGGCGUGCCUAAUACAUGCAAGUCGAGCGAACAGACGAGGAGCUUGCUCCUCUGACGUUAGCGGCGGACGGGUGAGUAACACGUGGAUAACCUACCUAUAAGACUGGGAUAACUUCGGGAAACCGGAGCUAAUACCGGAUAAUAUAUUGAACCGCAUGGUUCAAUAGUGAAAGACGGUUUUGCUGUCACUUAUAGAUGGAUCCGCGCCGCAUUAGCUAGUUGGUAAGGUAACGGCUUACCAAGGCAACGAUGCGUAGCCGACCUGAGAGGGUGAUCAGCCACACUGGAACUGAGACACGGUCCAGACUCCUACGGGAGGCAGCAGUGGGGAAUAUUCGGCAAUGGGCGAAAGCCUGAGGGAGCAACGCCGCGUGAGUGAAGAGGGUCUUCGGAUUGUAAAACUCUUUUGUUGGGAAAGAAAAAAUGUGAAAUAAUCUCCCCCUGUUCUGACGGUACCUAAAGAAAAAGCACCGGCUAACUUCGUG
rnacentral:rRNA from 1 species